AGUUGAUCCCCUUCGGGGGUGACGCUUGUGGAAUGAGCGGCGGACGGGUGAGUAACACGUGGGCAACCUGCCUGUAAGACUGGGAUAACCCCGGGAAACCGGGGCUAAUACCGGAUAAUACUUUCUUUUGCAUAAAGGAAAGUUGAAAGGCGGCUUCGGCUGUCACUUACAGAUGGGCCCGCGGCGCAUUAGCUAGUUGGUGAGGUAACGGCUCACCAAGGCGACGAUGCGUAGCCGACCUGAGAGGGUGAUCGGCCACACUGGGACUGAGACACGGCCCAGACUCCUACGGGAGGCAGCAGUAGGGAAUCUUCCGCAAUGGACGAAAGUCUGACGGAGCAACGCCGCGUGAGUGAUGAAGGUUUUCGGAUCGUAAAACUCUGUUGUUAGGGAAGAACAAGUACGAUAGUAACUGAUCGUACCUUGACGGUACCUAACCAGAAAGCCACGGCUAACUACGUGCCAGCAGCCGCGGUAAUACGUAGGUGGCAAGCGUUGUCCGGAAUUAUUGGGCGUAAAGCGCUCGCAGGCGGUCCUUUAAGUCUGAUGUGAAAUCUCGCGGCUCAACCGCGAACGGUCAUUGGAAACUGGAGGACUUGAGUACAGAAGAGGAGAGUGGAAUUCCACGUGUAGCGGUGAAAUGCGUAGAGAUGUGGAGGAACACCAGUGGCGAAGGCGACUCUCUGGUCUGUAACUGACGCUGAGGAGCGAAAGCGUGGGGAGCGAACAGGAUUAGAUACCCUGGUAGUCCACGCCGUAAACGAUGAGUGCUAGGUGUUAGGGGGUUUCCGCCCCUUAGU
rnacentral:rRNA from 1 species